AGGCGGCAAAGGGGCGCCUCGCCUCUCACCUCGCCUGGGCACCUCCCAUGCCUUUAAUAACACUGCCAGAGACCAAAGGUUUCUCGGUUAACAAGCUAACGUGGCACCGCCACCAUGACAUCAAAAGAAUAAAAUAAAGUCUCUCCUCCACAAAGGAUGUUUCUUUCUCCUCCACAUAAUUUUUUUUUUUCUCCUCCAACAUUUCUCUCUCUUCCAAUCUUUCACUGUCUCAUUCUCACCCUUUGCUCUGCUAUCGUCUCAACAAUGCCUCUCCACCUCUCCCUACCUUACUGUUUGAAAGAUCAUCCCCCUUCACCCCUUCUCUUGCAAGCACAUCCCUCCCUCCACCCUUGUUGAUUGCAACUUUGGAAGCUUUCCAAUAUGAUUUCUUACAAUGCAGGUCUACUACUACUACCAUUUCGUCCUCUUCUUCCUCCUCUAAACAACAUUGUGCUUCCUAUUUAUAGUUGUCCGUCCAGGGGUUGCCAAGCUCUUGGUAAUCAAGAAACUCCUUUGAGGCCAAAGGCAAAAUUGCUAAUUCUUCCAUUACAAAGGAGGAAACAUGUAUAUCUUCAUAAGCAUUAAUACCCUAUAUUUUUGUGAGUCUCUUUUUAGUGCAAACCAACUUCAAUAGAAGUUCUCUAAUGCCCACUGAAGUUGAGUUUCCAUACCAAAUUCAAUAAGGGUCUCCAAUCAACGAAUACUUUUGAAGAGCGUAAAGAAAAGCUCACAAGCUUGAUGUACACUCAACUUUUGAUCUAGGGAAGACAAUCCUUUAAAAGAUCUACGAACAACUCUUUUGGUAUCAUUCUACUUUUACCAUUUCUUGUGGUGUUGAUGUUUAUGGAUUUUGGAUUCUGACAUUGAAUUUUUUUUAUUUCUAUUUGACAUUUUUUUUUUUCAAAUUUUCAAGAGUUGAUUUUCAUUUGGUGUCUGUUGAUUGAUGAGGAUGAAGCGGGAUUUGAGGAGAGAGAGAGUGUUAGUGUGGGUGGGUGUGUGCACGCACGCAAGGAAGAUAAACAAAUAAACAAAAGAGAUGGAGCGAGAGAGUGACGUGGUGCUUUUGGGUCCAAAAACGAAAAGAAAGUGUCCUGGUAGAAUAGAAUUCUUAGUUCAACUAGGAUUUAGCUUUUCCUAUUUUAUCUAGAUCUUUCUAUUGUAUUUAGUUUAUCUAGAAUUCCUAAAUAGUAGAUCUAUUUCCCUAUUAGGAUAACGAUUUAGGAGAUUAAAACCUCUAUAAAUGCCCAUAAUUUUAGAUUUCAGUUAAUAAAAAUUUUUGUAGAGUUUUUCUCUCAAACACGUGUGUGUUGUGUUCUUUUGAGCUUCAUGCAGU
rnacentral:misc_RNA from 1 species